rnacentral:rRNA from 1 species
UGGUGCCAGCAGCCGCGGUAAUUCCAGCUCCAAUAGCGUAUAUUUAAGUUGUUGCAGUUAAAAAGCUCGUAGUUGAAUUUCUGGCAUGGGCGACCGGUGCUUUCCCUGAAUGGGGAUUGAUUGUCUGUGUUGCCUUGGCCAUCUUUUUCUUUUCUUUAUUGAUGAGAAAUCUUUCACUGUAAUCAAAGCAGAGUGUUCCAAGCAGGUCGUAUGACCGGUAUGUUUAUUAUGGGAUGAUAAGAUAGGACUUGGGUGCUAUUUUGUUGGUUUGCACGCCUGAGUAAUGGUUAAUAGGAACAGUUGGGGGUAUUCGUAUUUAGGAGCUAGAGGUGAAAUUCUUGGAUUUCCGAAAGACGAACUAGAGCGAAGGCAUUUACCAAGCAUGUUUUCAUUAAUCAAGAACGAAAGUCUGGGGAUCGAAGAUGAUUAGAUACCAUCGUAGUCUUAACCAUAAACUAUGCCGACUAGGGAUUGGCGGACGUUGUCUAUAUGACUUCGCCAGCACCUCAUGAGAAAUCAAAGUCUUUGGGUUCCGGGGGGAG